rnacentral:rRNA from 1 species
CAGUAGCCGCGGGAAUACGUAGGUGGCAAGCGUUGUCCGGAAUUAUUGGGCGUAAAGGGCUCGCAGGCGGUUUCUUAAGUCUGAUGUGAAAGCCCCCGGCUCAACCGGGGAGGGUCAUUGGAAACUGGGAAACUUGAGUGCAGAAGAGGAGAGUGGAAUUCCACGUGUAGCGGUGAAAUGCGUAGAGAUGUGGAGGAACACCAGUGGCGAAAGCGACUCUCUGGUCUGUAACUGACGCUGAGGAGCGAAAGCGUGGGGAGCGAACAGGAUUAGAUACCCCCGUAGUCCCUGUCUCUUAUAC